UAGCGCUCCUAUCUCCGCCCACUCGACCGCCACGUGGCAGCCGAGUGAGGGCCUCGGGGUGGCAC
rfam:Oryza nivara chromosome 9, whole genome shotgun sequence.